rnacentral:rRNA from 1 species
GCAGGCCUAACACAUGCAAGUCGAGCGGUAGCACAGAGAGCUUGCUCUUGGGUGACGAGCGGCGGACGGGUGAGUAAUGUCUGGGAAACUGCCUGAUGGAGGGGGAUAACUACUGGAAACGGUAGCUAAUACCGCAUAACGUCGCAAGACCAAAGAGGGGGACCUUCGGGCCUCUUGCCAUCAGAUGUGCCCAGAUGGGAUUAGCUAGUAGGUGGGGUAACGGCUCACCUAGGCGACGAUCCCUAGCUGGUCUGAGAGGAUGACCAGCCACACUGGAACUGAGACACGGUCCAGACUCCUACGGGAGGCAGCAGUGGGGAAUAUUGCACAAUGGGCGCAAGCCUGAUGCAGCCAUGCCGCGUGUAUGAAGAAGGCCUUCGGGUUGUAAAGUACUUUCAGCGGGGAGGAAGGUGUUGAGGUUAAUAACCUCAGCAAUUGACGUUACCCGCAGAAGAAGCACCGGCUAACUCCGUGCCAGCAGCCGCGGUAAUACGGAGGGUGCAAGCGUUAAUCGGAAUUACUGGGCGUAAAGCGCACGCAGGCGGUCUGUCAAGUCGGAUGUGAAAUCCCCGGGCUCAACCUGGGAACUGCAUUCGAAACUGGCAGGCUAGAGUCUUGUAGAGGGGGGUAGAAUUCCAGGUGUAGCGGUGAAAUGCGUAGAGAUCUGGAGGAAUACCGGUGGCGAAGGCGGCCCCCUGGACAAAGACUGACGCUCAGGUGCGAAAGCGUGGGGAGCAAACAGGAUUAGAUACCCUGGUAGUCCACGCCGUAAACGAUGUCGACUUGGAGGUUGUGCCCUUGAGGCGUGGCUUCCGGAGCUAACGCGUUAAGUCGACCGCCUGGGGAGUACGGCCGCAAGGUUAAAACUCAAAUGAAUUGACGGGGGCCCGCACAAGCGGUGGAGCAUGUGGUUUAAUUCGAUGCAACGCGAAGAACCUUACCUACUCUUGACAUCCAGAGAACUUUCCAGAGAUGGAUUGGUGCCUUCGGGAACUCUGAGACAGGUGCUGCAUGGCUGUCGUCAGCUCGUGUUGUGAAAUGUUGGGUUAAGUCCCGCAACGAGCGCAACCCUUAUCCUUUGUUGCCAGCGGUUCGGCCGG